CGAGCCGGCCUCUCCACCCCUGGGAGGGGCCUCUGUGUUCUGCUUAUUGCUCGCACCUGUGGGUAAUUAAGCCGGGACUCAAAAGGCCAGCGCACUCAACCUCUCUUUGCCAAAUUCUCAGCUAACCCUAGUUAGCGCAGGCCACCGCUGUGUGUUUUGUACACGCCUCGCAAACUACCCAUCCGGACGCUGGACCUCCUGACAGUCUCACGGGUUGCUCACCCCAUUCACCUGCCUGCCUGCCUCCCUGCCUCAACGCCAGGAAUUUCGGACCACUCACCCCUCCACGUCACUACAGACCACCCGCGGCAAUGACUCUGACCCUUUCCCCGGACCCAGCCAACCAGUUUAACUCUCCCUCCAGCCCAAUCCUCGGAACAGCUGUUUCCACUGAUGAACGAUCAGAGUGCUUGCUUAGCUCAGGCUGCAUAAACCCCUUAGGUUAAGUUGUGGCAUCUAGCAUUUGUUAAACUCGCAUUCCAGUUUUCUGAUUGUGAAGACUUGUUGAGAAAAUAAACGUUGUCACUGAAACUA